rnacentral:rRNA from 1 species
GUGUAGGAUAGGUGGGAGGCUUUGAAGUGUGGACGCCAGUCUGCAUGGAGCCGACCUUGAAAUACCACCCUUUAAUGUUUGAUGUUCUAACGUGGACCCGUGAUCCGGGUUGCGGACAGUGUCUGGUGGGUAGUUUGACUGGGGCGGUCUCCUCCUAAAGAGUAACGGAGGAGCACGAAGGUUGGCUAAUCCUGGUCGGACAUCAGGAGGUUAGUGCAAUGGCAUAAGCCAGCUUGACUGCGAGCGUGACGGCGCGAGCAGGUGCGAAAGCAGGUCAUAGUGAUCCGGUGGUUCUGUAUGGAAGGGCCAUCGCUCAACGGAUAAAAGGUACUCCGGGGAUAACAGGCUGAUACCGCCCAAGAGUUCAUAUCGACGGCGGUGUUUGGCACCUCGAUGUCGGCUCAUCACAUCCUGGGGCUGAAGUAGGUCCCAAGGGUAUGGCUGUUCGCCAUUUAAAGUGGUACGCGAGCUGGGUUUAGAACGUCGUGAGACAGUUCGGUCCCUAUCUGCCGUGGGCGCUGGAGAACUGAGGGGGGCUGCUCCUAGUACGAGAGGACCGGAGUGGACGCAUCACUGGUGUUCGGGUUGUCAUGCCAAUGGCACUGCCCGGUAGCUAAAUGCGGAAGAGAUAAGUGCUGAAAGCAUCUAAGCACGAAACUUGCCCCGAGAUGAGUUC